rnacentral:tRNA from 1 species
GCGGCCGUGGCCGAAUGGUUAUCGCGCUUGCCUCCCACGCAGCAGGCCAGGGUUCGAUUCCCGGCCGCG